UACGGAGGGUGCAAGCGUUGUUCGGAUUUAUUGGGCGUAAAGCGCGUGUAGGCGGUUUCUUAAGUCUGAUGUGAAAGCCCUGGGCUCAACCCAGGAAGUGCAUUGGAUACUGGGAGACUUGAAUACGGGAGAGGGUAGUGGAAUUCCUAGUGUAGGAGUGAAAUCCGUAGAUAUUAGGAGGAACACCCGUGGCGAAGGCGGCUCUCUGGGACGGUACUGACGCUGAGACGCGAAAGCGUGGGGAGCGAACAGG
rnacentral:rRNA from 1 species